UACGGAGGGAGCUGAGCUGUUCGUGAAUUACUGGGCGUAAAGCGCACGUAGGCGGCUUUGUAAGUUAGAGGUGAAAGCCCGGGGCUCAACUCCGGAACUGCCUUUAAGACUGCAUCGCUUGAAUCCAGGAGAGGUGAGUGGAAUUCCGAGUGUAGAGGUGAAAUUCGUAGAUAUUCGGAAGAACACCAGUGGCGAAGGCGGCUCACUGGACUGGUAUUGACGCUGAGGUGCGAAAGCGUGGGGAGCAAACAGG
rnacentral:rRNA from 1 species